GACGAACGCUGGCGGCGUGCCUAAUACAUGCAAGUAGAACGCACAGUUUAUACCGUAGCUUGCUACACCAUAAACUGUGAGUUGCGAACGGGUGAGUAACGCGUAGGUAACCUGCCUGGUAGCGGGGGAUAACUAUUGGAAACGAUAGCUAAUACCGCAUAAUAUUAAUUAUUGCAUGAUAAUUGAUUGAAAGAUGCAAUUGCAUCACUACCAGAUGGACCUGCAUUGUAUUAGCUAGUAGGUGAGGUAACGGCUCACCUAGGCGACGAUACAUAGCCGACCUGAGAGGGUGAUCGGCCACACUGGGACUGAGACACGGCCCAGACUCCUACGGGAGGCAGCAGUAGGGAAUCUUCGGCAAUGGACGAAAGUCUGACCGAGCAACGCCGCGUGAGUGAAGAAGGUUUUCGGAUCGUAAAGCUCUGUUGUAAGAGAAGAACGGGUGUGAGAGUGGAAAGUUCACACUGUGACGGUAUCUUACCAGAAAGGGACGGCUAACUACGUG
rnacentral:rRNA from 1 species